ACCGGUCCUGGGGGAAGAAACAGAAAAGGAGGCCUUGCUGCAUUCACUUUUUCUUGUUUUCUUCUCGGUCUGCCUCCUUUUACUUCAUUUACUCAGUUUACAAACAAAAGUGGAGGCCACAGCUUACGAAGUAGCUGGGUGCUUGAGGAUGAGUGACAACCUCCCUAAGCCUCAGUUUUCUGAUCUAUAAAAUGGGGACAAUAAUGAUACUCCCUAACAGUAAUGCAGUUAGCACUGUGCAUGGCACAGGUCAAGCCUAAUUUUACCUAGACACCAGGUGUCCUUCUAAGGGCCCCUUGAAGGCUGGCAGAGGGAGAUUAGGGCAUAGCAAAUCAAGGCCGGACAACCGGGCCUGACCUGUCAAUCACGGAGAGCUGUCAGUCACUGUCCAGACGCCUGGGCAGAGCAGCUUGGAAGCCCUGCGUGGGACUCCCCGGAUCCUCAGAAGAAGAUGGAAAAGGCAAUGCCCAGUGACUUCAGUGGCCCUGCCCUCUUGUGCGAUGGCCCGUCCUGCAUGCAGGUUACUGAAUUUAUUGGAUGAAAUUAGAACUGGACAGAGGAGACCAGAGGAAAGAAAGGAGUGUCAGAAAUUGUCUUCCAGUGUGGUCAAGUCUGGAGGAAGAUCCUUUGCAUGGAAGUGACCUGAAGUAAGAGGAAAGACUGCUGGAGGCAGAAAUCGAAGUGACUGCUUCACACACUGCAGAAAAUGAGGAAGCGAAUUCUGUACAUCACCAAGAAUGCCUCCAAUUGUCACAGUGGCACCAACUUCAAAAGGCCAUAGCGUCAAUCAUGUAGCAUGAGAUUUAUUUAUUUUUGGUACCAGGAAUCAAACUCAGGACCUUGCACCUGCAAUGCAGGCAUGGUGUCAAUGAGCUAAAUCUCUGGCCCAUGUAGCAUCAGAUUUUGACAGCUGAGCACGCUAAAAUUAUCCUGACAUGAUUAUGAUUAAAAUAGGUUUACAGAUUUACCCAACCAGCAGUUUCACUUGCAAGAAGAAGUUACGCCCAGAAAUAUUUGGACAUAUGUCCAUACACAGAAAUGUGUGUCACAGCAUUGCUGAGAGUGGAAAUGACAGUGGAAAGCUGGAAACUAUAAUUCCAACAAUAAGAGAUUGGUUAAAUUACUGUGUAUUUAUUGUCAAAAAUUGCUCAUAGUUGGGCCGGGGAUUUAGCUCAGUGGUUUUGCCACCUGCUGCGCAAGUGCAAGGACCUGAGUUCGAUCCCUGGUACCAAAAAAAAAAUUGCUCUUAGUAAAAGAAGUGCAUGAUAUAAGUCUAAUUUGGGAAAAAUAAGUGUUUCUAGCACCUCAUAAUAAAUGUUGAUUGAAUGAA